rnacentral:rRNA from 1 species
UACGUAGGGUGCAAGCGUUAAUCGGAAUUACUGGGCGUAAAGCGUGCGCAGGCGGUGAUGUAAGACAGAUGUGAAAUCCCCGGGCUCAACCUGGGAACUGCAUUUGUGACUGCAUCGCUGGAGUACGGCAGAGGGGGGAUGGAAUUCCGCGUGUAGCAGUGAAAUGCGUAGAUAUGCGGAGGAACACCGAUGGCGAAGGCAAUCCCCUGGGCCUGUACUGACGCUCAUGCACGAAAGCGUGGGGAGCAAACAGG